rnacentral:rRNA from 1 species
UAUUGCACAAUGGGGGAAACCCUGAUGCAGCGACGCCGCGUGGAGGAAGAAGUAUCUCGGUAUGUAAACUUCUAUCAGCAGGGAAGAAAAUGACGGUACCUGACUAAGAAGCCCCGGCCAGCUACGUGCCAGCAGACGCGGUAAUACGUAGGUGGCGAGCGUUAUCCGGAUUUCCUGGGUGUAAAGGGAGCGUAGACGGAAGAGCAAGUCUGAUGUGAAAGGCUGGGGCUUAACCCCAGGACUGCAUUGGAAACUGUUGUUCUAGAGUGCCGGAGAGGUAAGCGGAAUUCCUAGUGUAGCGGUGAAAUGCGUAGAUAUUAGGAGGAACACCAGUGGCGAAGGCGGCUUACUGGACGGUAACUGACGUUGAGGCUCGAAAGCGUGGGGAGCAA